rnacentral:rRNA from 1 species
UGAGGAAUAUUGGGCAAUGCCCGCAAGGGUGACCCAGCAACGCCGCGUGGAGGAUGAAUGUCGUAAGAUUGUAAACUCCUGUUAGAGGGGAAGAAUAGUACCGGUUGGACCGGUAUAUGACUGUACCCUCAGAGAAAGCCCCGGCUAACUACGUGCCAGCAGCCGCGGUAAUACGUAGGGGGCAAGCGUUGUCCGGAUUUACUGGGUGUAAAGGGCGCGCAGGCGGGAUAAAAAGUCAGUGGUGAAAUCCUACAGCUUAACUGUAGAACUGCCUUUGAUACUUUUAUUCUUGAGUUCGGGAGAGAGUGACGGAAUUCCCGGUGUAGUGGUGAAAUACGUAGAUAUCUGGAAGAACACCAGUUGCGAAGGCGGUCUCUUGGUCCGACACUGACGCUGAGGCGCGAAAGCGUGGGGAGCAAACA